rnacentral:misc_RNA from 1 species
GGAAGGAUCAUUGAAUCUAUAAAAACCACACCGUGCACCCCAAUGUUCGUCGAAACCUGGUCCUGCGGCCGGUGCCCAGUGCAUCAGGCCCCAGGUGCUAGUAGCCUGACCCUGCCGAGUGUUCACCACGCUCGGCCGGCGAUGGCGAACGCAGGCUUGUCCCCGGCGCUCUGCGGCUGCUAACCCCAGUCGCCCAGCUCCACGGGAGAGGCAGCCGGCGGACGGCACCCCCACAGUCCAACCACACCAAACCAAAACCAACUGAAGCUUAGGCGUCAGCUUGCUGAUUGCUAAAACCAAAGACAACUCUCAACAACGGAUAUCUUGGCUCUCGCAACGAUGAAGAACGCAGCGAAAUGCGAUACGUAGUGUGAAUUGCAGAAUUCCGUGAACCAUCGAAUCUUUGAACGCAUAUUGCGCUCGAGCUUUCGGGCAAGAGCAUGUCUGCCUCAGCGUCGGUAUUACCCUCUCCCAACGGCCUUGGCCCGCGCCUCUCACCCAGGUGGCAGCCCAGGUCGGUGCCCUUGCUUCACAGCGAGCGGCCUUUGGGAGGAUCUGGCAGUCCCCCUUAUCUUGUGUCCUUCGGGUUCAGGAGGUCCAGGGGGUCUGCUCAAGCACACCGCGAGAGGACAUUGCCUCUCCUCGGGUUUUGUUUCAGGUGUCUAGGCGGAGUGCCGCAACUGGCGUCGUCUAGGGGCUUGUCUCACGAAGAGACAGAGGUACUCUGGUUGCUUAAACUCCUCCAGAUUACUCCCGCUGCAACAGGAAUGUGCGCUUGCGCACACCCAAUACAUUCGACCUGAGCUCAGGCAAGAUUACCCGCUGAACUUAAGCAUAUCACUAAGCGGAGGAAAAGAAACUAACAAGGAUUCCCCUAGUAACGGCGAGCGAACCGGGAAAAGCCCAGAAUGUAAAUCUCCCUCGAGAAUUGUAGUCUAUAGAAGCAUCCGCUGUAGCGGGCGCGGCCAAAGUCUCCUGGAAAGGGCGUCAGAGAGGGUGAGAACCCCGUCGGCCGUUGCCUCGCUGCUCCACGCAGUGCUUUCACAGAGUCGGGUUGCUUGGGAAUGCAGCCCUAAUUUGGUGGUAAAUCCCAUCUAAGGCUAAAUAUUGGCGAGAGACCGAUAGCGAACAAGUACCGUGAGGGAAAGAUGAAAAGAACUUUGAAAAGAGAGUUAAAAAGUGCUUGAAAUUGUUGAGGGGGAAGCGAUUGGAAGUUAUGGGUGCGCCUAGGCUUAUGGGCACUUGACGGUGCUCUGUACGUGCUAGGCGCUGGUCAACAUGGGUUGGGCUAGCAGGAUAAACGCCGCGAACGCUCUCGGUCUAUACUGCUGGCCCGGCUGAGGAAUGAAUGGCGCCCUCGUCCUUCGGGAACUGCGUCAUCAAGAUGUUGGCGAAAGGUUUCCAAUCGACCCGUCUUGAAACACGGACCAAGGAGUCUAACAUGUAUGCGAGCUGGUGGGUGGUAAACCCAUGAAGCGCAAGUAACCUGACUGGUGGGAGGGCCUGUGCCUGCACCAUCGACCGACCAUGAUCUUCUGUGAAAGGUUUGAGUUUGAGCAUACCUGUUGGGACCCGAAAGAUGGUGAACUAUGCCUGAGCAGGGCGAAGCCAGAGGAAACUCUGGUGGAGGCUCGUAGAUGUGCUGACGUGCAAAUCGCUUUUCGGACUUGGGUAUAGGGGCGAAAGACUAAUCGAACCAUCUAGUAGCUGGUUCCCUC